UACGUAGGGUCCGAGCGUUGUCCGGAAUUAUUGGGCGUAAAGAGCUCGUAGGCGGUCCAUUAAGUCGAAUGUGAAAUCUCACGGCUCAACCGUGAAAUUGCAUCCGAUACUGGUGGACUUGAGGCAGGUAGAGGAAGGUGGAAUUCCUGGUGUAGCGGUGAAAUGCGCAGAUAUCAGGAGGAACACCGGCGGCGAAGGCGGCCUUCUGGGCCUGUACUGACGCUGAGGAGCGAAAGCGUGGGGAGCGAACAGG
rnacentral:misc_RNA from 1 species